AACGUAGGACACAAGCGUUAUCCGGAGUUACUGGGCGUAAAGGGCGUGUAGGCGGCCAGAUAAGUCCGCUGUGAAAUCUCGAGGCUCAACUUCGAGCUGUCGGUGGAAACUGUCUGGCUAGAGUCCGGAAGAGGAGAAUGGAAUUCCUGGUGUAGCGGUGAAAUGCGCAGAUAUCAGGAAGAACACCCGUGGCGAAGGCGGUUCUCUGGGACGGUACUGACGCUGAGACGCGAAAGCGUGGGGAGCGAACAGG
rnacentral:rRNA from 1 species